CGUAUCUGGCUGUAGUGGUUUAAAUUGCU
rnacentral:piRNA from 1 species